rnacentral:rRNA from 1 species
GACGAACGCUGGCGGCGUGCCUAAUACAUGCAAGUAGGACGCAGUUGCGAACGGGUGGGUAACGCGUAGGUACAUACCUAUUAGAGGGGGAUAACUAUUGGAAACUAUAGCUAAUACCGCAUACUAGUAGCUGGACCUGCGUUGUAUUAGCUAGUUGGUAGGGUAAUGGACUAACUAGGCAACGAUACAUAGCCGAACUGGGAGGGUGAACGGCCACACUGGGACUGAGACACGGCCCCGACUCCUACGGGAGGCAGCAGUAGGGAAGUUGCGGCAAUGGGGGGAACCCUGACCGAGCAACGCCGCGGGAGUGAAGAAGGUUUUCGGAUCGUAAAGCUCUGUUGUUAAGGAAGCGGUACUUAAACAGAAAGGGACGGCUAACUACGUGCCAGCAGCCGCGGUAAUAC